ACUUCACACCCCACACUCUCAUUUCUCUGUCACCCGACUCCCUCGUCUCCUUCGUAAGGCGAUUUGCGAUUUCUCUAGGGGUCCCUUAACCAUGGCUAAUUCAUGGCGAUUUCCGGCCAUUUUUGUCCAAAUUCUUGAGGGCUUUUAUGACCAAUCAUGAAUACUCAUGAUUUCCAGGUACACCCAGAUGAGUAAAGGACAUUGCUAGAAGAUGCUUCAGCUGGAUUGGCAACUCCAAUUGCUCCUGGAGUGUUGUCGAGUCAGAGUAUAUGUGCUAUGAUGUUUUGUUCGAAGUUAGAGACUUUGUAGAUAGAGUCGUGGGUAUGGAAUGUCAGUGUUGUAAGCGGCUCCAUCAGCCGAUGUGUCAUUCUGUAUUAUGUGAUAAAGUCCAUAUAAUUACAGAUUUGUUGGAUUUGAGAACAAAGAAAAAGAAUAUUUCUGAAAGCCUUACCAUGUAUUUCAUGUUUAUUUGAUUUAAAGGUCCAAUAAGGUUAUGUGUGUAUUAAGAGUCAGAGGGUUCUCUCGGCUCUAAGUAAGGGUCGGGUGCCCAUCACACCCUAGCGAGAUUAGGGUGUGACAGUUUCUUUGUCUUGGUUUGACAUGAUCUUCCCCUAUCAUUUUCCUACAUUGUUGUUGUUUGCCCCUAUCACCAUGAAUCCUCUAUGGUUUCUAUGUUCCUGCUGUUGUGGCUUC